rnacentral:rRNA from 1 species
GGUUAAGCGACUAAGCGUACACGGUGGAUGCCCUGGCAGUCAGAGGCGAUGAAGGACGUGCUAAUCUGCGAAAAGCGUCGGUAAGGUGAUAUGAACCGUUAUAGCCGGCGAUGUCCGAAUGGGGAAACCCAGUGUGAUUCGUCACACUAUCGUUAACUGAAUACAUAGGUUAACGAGGCGAACCGGGGGAACUGAAACAUCUAAGUACCCCGAGGAAAAGAAAUCAACCGAGAUUCCCCCAGUAGCGGCGAGCGAACGGGGAGCAGCCCAGAGUCUGAAUCAGCUUGUGUGUUAGUGGAACGGUCUGGAAAGUCCGACGGUACAGGGUGAUAGUCCCGUACACCAAAAUGCACAGGUUGUGAACUCGAAGAGUAGGGCGGGACACGUGGUAUCCUGUCUGAAUAUGGGGGGACCAUCCUCCAAGGCUAAAUACUCCUGACUGACCGAUAGUGAACCAGUACCGUGAGGGAAAGGCGAAAAGAACCCCGGCGAGGGGAGUGAAAAAGAACCUGAAACCGUGUACGUACAAGCAGUGGGAGCACCUUCGGGUGUGACUGCGUACCUUUUGUAUAAUGGGUCAGCGACUUAUAUUCUGUAGCAAGGUUAACCGUAUAGGGGAGCCGCAGGGAAACCGAGUCUUAACUGGGCGUUAAGUUGCAGGGUAUAGACCCGAAACCCGGUGAUCUAGCCAUGGGCAGGUUGAAGGUUGGGUAACACUAACUGGAGGACCGAACCGACUAAUGUUGAAAAAUUAGCGGAUGACUUGUGGCUGGGGGUGAAAGGCCAAUCAAACCGGGAGAUAGCUGGUUCUCCCCGAAAGCUAUUUAGGUAGCGCCUCGUGAA